GAGUCAAUGAAGAGACCUCAUACUGUCUCCAAUAGUGAUAAUGACUUAAAAAUCAUGCUAAAUAGGAUUACACUGAGGCCC
ensembl:snoRNA SNORD115 Small nucleolar RNA SNORD115